rnacentral:rRNA from 1 species
GACGAACGCUGGCGGCGUGGAUUAGGCAUGCAAGUCGAACGGUAUCAUCCUUUCGGGGGUGAGAGAGUGGCGAACUGGUGAGUAACACGUAGGUUAUCUACCCUCAAGACGGGGACAACCCAGGGAAACUUGGGCUAAUACCGGAUGUGAGCAACUUUUAGUUGUUUGAAAGGUGGCGUAAGCUGUCGCUUGGGGAUGAGCCUGCGUCCUAUUAGUUAGUUGGUGAGGUAACGGCUCACCUAGGCAAUGAUAGGUAGGCGGCCUUAACGGGUGGUCGCCCACACUGGGAUUGAGAUACGGCCCAGACUCCUACGGGAGGCAGCAGUCGAGAAUAGUCUACAAUGGUCGGAAGACUGAUAGUGCGACGCCGCGUGAACGAUGAAUCCCUUCGGGGUGUAAAGUUCUUUUAUAUGUGAGCAGUGCUUCUUAUAUUAACAGUAUGGGGAGAGAGAUAUUAGCAUAUGAAUAAGCAACGGCUAACUCCGUGCCAGCAGCCGGGUAACG